rnacentral:rRNA from 1 species
UCGAGGAUCUUCGGCAAUGGGCGCAAGCCUGACCGAGCGACGCCGCGUGUGCGAUGAAGGCCUUCGGGUUGUAAAGCACUGUCGAGGGGGAGGAAAGCCCGCAAGGGCCUGACUAAUCCCUGGAGGAAGCACGGGCUAAGUUCGUGCCAGCAGCCGCGGUAAGACGAACCGUGCAAACGUUGUUCGGAUUCACUGGGCUUAAAGGGCGCGUAGGCGGGUGGUCAAGUCAGGGGUGAAAUCUUUCAGCUCAACUGGAAAAUAGCUUCUGAUACUGGCCGUCUUGAGGGAGGUAGGGGCAUGUGGAACUUCCGGUGGAGCGGUGAAAUGCGUAGAUAUCGGAAGGAACGCCGGUGGCGAAAGCGACGUGCUGGACCUUUUCUGACGCUGAGGCGCGAAAGCCAGGGGAGCAAACGGGAUUAGAUACCCCCGUAGUCC